CCACGACCCACGCCUUUUCACCCACGACCCACGCCUUUUUACCCACGACCCACGCCUUUUUACCCACGACCCACGCCUUUUUACCCACGACCCACGCCUUUUUACCCACGACCCACGCCUUUUUACCCAUGCCUUUUUACCCACGACAUUCUACCCACGACCCACGACCCACGACUGGUAGCUAGCCCCAUCAGUUACGAG